GGGCCGGUAGCUCAGGGGUAGAGCGGUAGACUGCAGUGCAUCAUCUAUUACAGGCGAUCAAACUCGCUUUCUAUAGGUCACCGGUUCGACUCCGGUUCGGCCCU